UCAUUAAGUUUCAUCGAACUCAACGCCAAACAUUUCAACAUGUUCACUAAGAUCGUCAUUCUGUGCGCUGCUCUCGCAGCUGUUCGUGCUAGUGCCCUUCUCCAUGGACAUGCAGCCUUAAUCAGCACCGGUGUUAGUGCAAGCUCUAGAGCUCAAGAUGCUAUCGGAAAUUAUGCUUUCGGAUACGAUAUCGUUGAUGGUCUCGGUGCCGCUAACUCCCGAAGUCGGAGAUGCUCAUGGUAACAAGAAGGGAUCUUACACCAUUGCUGACAUUGAUGGAAGAGCUAGACGUGUCGACUAUGUAGCUGAUGGUCUUGGUUUCCGUGCCACCGUCAAAACUAAUGAACCUGGAACUGCUGCCAGCGCUCCAGCUGCUGCUCUAGUCGCCAGUCCAUACGCUGCUCCAGUCGCCCCUGUCGUCAACCACGUCGCCCCAGUCGCACACAUGCUGCUGUAGCAGCUCCCUUAGCUCACGGUCUGUUGGGUGCCGGUCAUUUGGGUUACGGUCUAGCUGGUGCUCAUGGUGUAGUUGCCACUGGUCUUUAUGGACAUGGUCUUUUGGCCCAUGGAGCCCUGGGACAUGGCCUUGGACAUUUAGCUUUUCAUUAAAUAUUAACUCGUUAAAAGAACAAUAUGGAGUACACAAAGGAUUUGGGAUCCAUUAAAAUACUUAAGGAUUUGCUCUUCUGUGGCAGAUUUGGGAAAAGGAAUUCCUGAAAACUUCCAGCUAAUUCUCUUCUCCUUAGUUGUCUGUGGCUCCAUAAGGGGAAAGAUGGAAUAUGUCAGCCUUAUUUAUUUCAAAUACUUUGUAUUUGACUGUAGGCAUUUCAAUAAUGUAUUGUAAAUAAAAUCGUAGUUUCGUAUUAUA